AGAGUUUGAUCAUGGCUCAGGAUGCACGCUAGCUACAGGCUUAACACAUGCAAGUCGAGGGGCAGCAUCGACGAUAGCUUGCUAUUGUUGAUGGCGACCGGCGCACGGGUGAGUCAACGCGUAUCCAACCUUCCCGUUGCUAGGGGAUAACCUUGCGAAAGUAAGACUAAUACCCUAUGAGGUUCUUCCGCAGGCAUCCUAAAGAGAACGAAAGAUUUAUCGGCAACGGAUGGGGAUGCGUCUGAUUAGGUUGUUGGCGGGGUAACGGCCCACCAAGCCUACGAUCAGUAGGGGUUCUGAGAGGAAGGUCCCCCACAUUGGAACUGAGACACGGUCCAAACUCCUACGGGAGGCAGCAGUGAGGAAUAUUGGUCAAUGGACGGAAGUCUGAACCAGCCAAGUAGCGUGCAGGAUGACGGCCCUAUGGGUUGUAAACUGCUUUUAUGUGGGAAUAAAGUGAGGGACGUGUCCCUUUUUGUAGGUACCACAUGAAUAAGGACCGGCUAAUUCCGUGCCAGCAGCCGCGGUAAUACGGAAGGUCCGGGCGUUAUCCGGAUUUAUUGGGUUUAAAGGGAGCGUAGGCCGUCUUUUAAGCGUGUUGUGAAAUACUGUCGCUCAACGACAGAGGUGCAGCGCGAACUGGGAGACUUGAGUGCGCGGAAUGCAGGCGGAAUUCGUCGUGUAGCGGUGAAAUGCUUAGAUAUGACGAAGAACUCCGAUUGCGAAGGCAGCUUGCAGUAGCGUAACUGACGCUGAAGCUCGAAAGUGCGGGUAUCGAACAGGAUUAGAUACCCUGGUAGUCCGCACGGUAAACGAUGGAUGCUCGCUGUGUGC
rnacentral:rRNA from 1 species